UCUAAUGUUAAUUUCUCUUCUGACAAAACC
rnacentral:piRNA from 1 species